rnacentral:rRNA from 1 species
UACAGAGUUCAUGCCCUCACGGGUAGAUCUCCCACCCUAUGUUAUCGUUACCUUUGUUGCUUUGGCGGGCCGUCAGGCCCUCGGUCAGGCUACCGGCUUCGGCUGGUGAACCGCCCGCCAGAGGACCCNNNNCUCUGAAUAUUAGUGUCNUCUGAGUACUAUAUAAUAGUUAAAACUUUCAACAACGGAUCUCUUGGUUCUGGCAUCNAUGAANAACGCAGCGAAAUGCGAUAAGUAAUGUGAAUUGCANAAUUCAGUGAAUCAUCGAAUCUUUGAACGCACAUUGCGCCCCUUGGUAUUCCGGGGGGCAUGCCUGUUCGAGCGUCAUUACAACCCUCAAGCCUGGCUUGGUAUUGGGCCUCGCCGUGUCUGGCGGGCCUUAAAAUCANUAACAGUGUCGUCGAGGCCCUGAGCGUAGUACAUAUCCUCGCUAUAGGGACUUCCACGGCCAUUAACCCUCACUUUCUAAGUUUGACCUCGGAUCAGGUAGGGAUACCCGCUGAACUUAANCAUAUCAAUAAGCGGAGGAAAAGAAACCAACAGGGAUUGCCUCANUAACGGCGAGUGAAGCGGCAACAGCUCAAAUUUGAAAUCUGGCUCUUUCAGGGUCCGAGUUGUAAUUUGUAGAANAUGCUUCGGGUGUGGCUCCGGUCUAANUUCCUUGGAACAGGAC